rnacentral:misc_RNA from 1 species
CGAGUAUAUCGCGCAUGACCAACGUCCCCGCGUACUCUGUUACCAAAGUUCUUCUUCGCUUGGGUACCAUCGCAGACGUUCUCGCAUCGUAAAACUGCACGCGUUUGUUACUCGCUCGUUUCUUUGACCAAAUAUAAAAGAGAAAACACCAAGGGUUUUGAUAAUAAUAUAUAAAAACGGAAGUUGUUGCUUAAUCCCUUAUUGGUAAUGCAGCUAAGUCUGAAAUUACUGAGGUGCCUUUUAAUGCUGGUCGUUAUGGCUUGCAUCGUAGACGCUUUACCCAUUGGAAACCCAGAGGCCGCGAUCGAAAACAUGAGACAAAUACCACAAUGGCAUUGUUUGCGUUAUCGGAAAUUUGAUUUGGUACGUCGCUGCCGGCAUUAUCGCAUUGGAAGAAAACACUGAUAACUGUAUAAUUAAUCUAACGUUGGUGGAAUACCUCGAAUCUUUCGAUUUACACAACUGUCUUCUAAUAACCCGACGACAAAUUGUAUUCUCGUUAAAGUCAUUGAAUAUGUUAUCAUAUCUGCCAAGGCCUGAAUUUUUCGGACUCAAAUAAUUUGUAAGCAUCUUUUUUUGUAAGUAAUUAAUGAUAUUUAAUUAUAAGUGUUUUCCUUCUUAUUUCAUUUGUCAACUAACAACUUACAAUCUCUCUACAUCCGAAGACCGUUUAAAUAACAUGGCGAAUGAUACCGUUUUGUAUCGUCUUAAAAGUUUCAAGCCUUUUUUUAUGUGUCGUGAAAUCACCGAAGUCUGAUUAUUUAUUAUUGAGUAAUAAACGGCUGCAAAUAAUACUUCAUAUACUCAACUAUUUUGUUUUUAAUAGUUGGACUGAACGUUAACAUUUUUUAUCGUUUUUUCUUUUCUUUGUUUUUUGAAGAAAAACUAAAGAUCCACUACUCAAUAUAAUAAGAAUUAAAAAUACGCAUAAUCACCCAACAAUCUAUGUACCAAAGAAAUUUUUGAUUUAAAAUUAAAAGAAAAAAAAAGAAAAAAAUAAUAAGGGGAUAAAAAUAGAUAAGAUGUAUUUAUUUAUAGCAAAACUUAGCUGUUUUGAUCUCAUCCACGU